AUGGCCCGGGGGCUGCCUGCGGUCCCCAUACCCACGGUCACCGGGGGGGAGAUGUGGUGGCUUGGGGCUGCCCUCCCUGCACGGGGAGAGGAGAGCGGGGAAAAAGGGCUGCGGAGUGAAAGGGUGAAGGGGAAGGAAGGAGCGUGGGGAGACACAGCCCGCAGGGAGGCCGGGACCCCCCCCCCGCAGCCUCCUGGGCUUAUUCCUCGCCGCUCCUGCGGUAGCGUUUUCACCUUGUGCUGCGAAGGAGUCAUUACGGCGGGCCGGGGCGGCGAUUGGCUGGCUAAAAAUGCCUCGGUAAUCUCCGUGCUGAUCUUUACCCCCCUCCUCCCCAUCUGCCGUGACCUUCCUCCCAAUGUGCAGAUCCAGCCCGAGCGAGACGGAGCUGACGGCUUCCCCGCCGGCGCCCCGGCCGCCCCCGCUGCCCCCCGGCCUCCGCGGCCCCGCGGCCGCCCCGCGCCCUCCCCUGCUCCCCGCAGCCGCUCGCCCAAGGUACCGGCACGCGUCCCCCGGGGCUCCCGGCGCGAUACGGAGCCCACCAGGCCCCCGGGAGGUUGGCGGUGGUGGAAGGGGGCUCGCGGUGGGGGACGGUGGCGGUGGUGGCCCCGGGAAGCAGACGGGAUGCCGGGGUUCGGCAUGUCCCCGUGUGCCGUGGUGGUGCUGCCCCCCUGGGAGCCCCUGCACGGUCCCGUGGCAGGGAAGGGGGAUAUAUUUUGGCGUAGCAGCUCGCUGCCCCUUGUUUUAAGCAAUUUCCAAACUCCUCUAGGAUCAGGGCUUGCUUUCUGUCGUGGGUUCACCCCCAAAGUCCGGUCUCGCCAGCUUUUUCUGGUCGCAGUGGGGGUGCCUCGGGUCUGGGCUCAGCCUCCUGAACCUCCUGGGGAGCUGCUGGCGGGUGGGAAAUGGCAGCGGGGGUCUCGCUGGGGGGGACACAGAGGCUCUGCAGCAUCUCGGGGCUCAGAGGACACAGGGCCUGGCCGCUGCACAUCCCCACCCUCGCACGCCCUGCUCCGUGCGUUACGCAAAAGCUGCAUCACCCCCAUAGCCCACGCGGCCCUGCUGGCCCCCAGGGGAUCCUGGGGGGGCUGCGGGGGGAUCUUGGGGGUUGUGGGGGGAUCCUGGGGAUUGUGA
rnacentral:lncRNA from 1 species